ACACUCCUACGGGAGGCAGCAGUGGGGAAUUUUGGACAAUGGGGGCAACCCUGAUCCAGCAAUGCCGCGUGAGUGAAGAAGGCCUUCGGGUUGUAAAGCUCUUUUGUCAGGGAAGAAACGGUAGUAGCGAAUAACUAUUACUAAUGACGGUACCUGAAGAAUAAGCACCGGCUAACUACGUGCCAGCAGCCGCGGUAAUACGUAGGGUGCAAGCGUUAAUCGGAAUUACUGGGCGUAAAGCGUGCGCAGGCGGUUGUGUAAGUCAGAUGUGAAAUCCCCGGGCUCAACCUGGGAAUUGCAUUUGAGACUGCACGGCUAGAGUGUGUCAGAGGGGGGUAGAAUUCCACGUGUAGCAGUGAAAUGCGUAGAUAUGUGGAGGAAUACCGAUGGCGAAGGCAGCCCCCUGGGAUAACACUGACGCUCAUGCACGAAAGCGUGGGGAGCAAACAGGAUUAGAAACCCUUGUAGUCCC
rnacentral:rRNA from 1 species